UACGUAGGGUGCAAGCGUUAAUCGGAAUUACUGGGCGUAAAGCGUGCGUAGGUGGUUCGGUAAGUCGGAUGUGAAAUCUCCAGGCUCAACCUGGAGGGGUCAUUCGAUACUGCCGUGACUAGAGGUCGGUAGGGGAGUGUGGAAUUCCUGGUGGAGCGGUGAAAUGCGCAGAUAUCAGGAGGAACACCCGUAGCGAAGGCGGCACUCUGGGCCGAUACUGACACUGAGGAGCGAAAGCGUGGGGAGCGAACAGG
rnacentral:rRNA from 1 species